rfam:Gossypium arboreum cultivar AKA8401 contig_65432_3, whole genome shotgun sequence.
AACCCAUGGUGAGGGCACCGUAUCAGUAGAUGUUUGUAUCUCUCCCAUGCAUCAUAUAAAGUCUCUAAAUCAAUUUGAACAAAGGAAGAGAUAUCAUUCAUCAACUU